rnacentral:rRNA from 1 species
CAGCAGUGGGGAAUAUUGGACAAUGGGCGAAAGCCUGAUCAGCCAUGCCGCGUGUGUGAAGAAGGCCUUCUGGUUGGAAAGCUGUUUUUACCAGGAAGAAAACCCUGGGUUAAUACCCUGGGGUCAUGACGGUACCGUAAGAAUAAGCACCGGCUAACU